UACAUGAUAGUACCUUCUCUGAAAUAAGAAUUUCCGCAUUCAAAGUCUCUCAGUUGUCCUGUUUAUUAUAUUGACAUUGUAAAAAAAAAACCCAUUUGGAAUUUUCUGGGGUUUUGUGCAUGUUGUACCAAAUAAUUAUGCAUAAAGCAUGGCUGAGAAAGUUGGCUGUCUGCAGUAAGAAGUCUUGAUGGAGUGUAGUUGGGAAUUUUCAAAGCCGAAAAGAUAAAAACAAACUGUGACUGCGUUGCCAAAGUACUGCUCUAAAUUAUGGCUUUAUUACAUACUUAUCAGGGUUGUGUAUUCAAAAAGGAAAAUAUGCAGUCCUCCUUAUGCACACCCUCUGGUUUUAAGUAGAUCAAAGAGAUGCCAUUGUCCUUCCUAGUCCUAUUAUGCACUGCAGAAAUAUGCAAAUGCAAAUGUACUGCACUGCAGUCAGGGCUCUCAGAUGACUAUAAACAAAGGUGUGCAACACAGGUAUGCAACUGGCUAUUGAGUACCGAAACUGCUAAUGGUUUUUUAAUUCCAUCCAAGCUCUUAAUUACAUAGCUGGAUGAGUUACUAUGGUUAAUCAAGACAAUGUGUGUUAAAGGUACUUAUUAUUUUAUCAUUUUAAAUGAUCCAGAAAAUCUGAAAAAUGAAAAGUAAUAUCUACAAUACAGAACUGUACUUCUGGAUUGUACUUUAUGUAUUCAUGCAAGGACAUAAAUGUACUUGUUCUAUGCAUCUUCUAUGUUUUGAGAUUCUCAUUCUUUUUUAUUUUUAUUUUUUAAUGAUACUUUGUAUGAGGUUGGGAACAGAGGUCAUGGCACAUAAUUGAAAUCCACUGAGGGUUGCACAAUUAGCCCUUCAUAUUAUGUUAUAGUCUCAGUAUGAUUCUUUCUGCACUAUGCAGCACUGUUCUACUGGCUUUAAAGAAGGUCACAUUUCUGCAGUCUGAGAACGGAGGCGGGGGUUUUCUAGCUCAGCAAUACAGGAUUCUGAAAUCAGCCAAUCAGCAUUGAGUAAAUAGACCGCCCACACACAGCCAUUGACAAGGGAAAGACGUGGGUUUGAAAAAAAAAGAAUAAAAUCUCUUUCAUUCCUCAGACUGAAAAAAACAACAGCCUUGUAAAGUUUCAAUCUCUUCCUCCCUCUGCAGAUAGUCAAAGUUUUGGUCUGGAUCACUCUCUUAUCUGCUUUUUUGGUAUUUCAAAAGUUAUGCUGAUAAACAGGCAGUGCUAUUACCUCCCUUCGAUUGUUGCAAUACCACCAUACUCUUGCAGUCUAUAAGUCUUCUGUAAGUAAUUAAACCUGUCUGUCCACCCUGGCAAAAAUGUUUUGUCAGACAUUAUAGUUUAUUAGUUCUACAUCAGUAAAAUGUAAAUGUAAUGUGAUCGGUUGGAAUAUAGUGAUUCACAAUCUUACCGUAUCCCAAAUAAAGUUUCAUAAAAAUGACUUUGAUGGGACUUGUAUUUAAAUUGAUUAAAUUGCUGGGGGCUUACUUCAAGAGUAAAUGGUUGCUUGCUUCUGAAGCAAGAUAUCCUUGAAAGACCAAGGCACCUGUUUUGAAUGCAGACACAUAGGUCAAUAUUUUAUUCCCUUUCCCACACAAGUCAAGGCUGCAUUUCUCUUCCCCUGUAACACUGGUGUGUAUGUUUGUUUUUCGUCCAGGCAAACAUGCCCUGUGUUUCUCAAUGCUGAGUGCGUCCUCGUGAGUCAGGCGGAACACCUCACUUCUCAGACUCUAAAGUGUGUUUGCUCCUUUGCAAAGCAAAUUUACUCUGGCAUGUCAGCUAACAGGCUCACAAGACUAGGCCUGUCAACGAGACAGCCCAGCCUUUCACACCUCACUGUGUUAAGGCACAGAUCGCAUACCUGCGGUGUUCUGUUUGUGAGGUGUGGUCAAUAGUCAGAGUGCCACAAACAUUUGCACUGAUGGUCUCAUUCUCAAUUGCUCACACCACCAAACCUCCAGCUCCGGUAAUAUCCUUCCAUCACUGGUGAAAUAAUGAUGAAUGCCACCCAAUGAACCAUUCUCACCCUUCCUUCUCGUAAGUCUUGUUGACCAUGUAUUGCAUGGAAAUAAAUAGCAAUGUCACAAGUAACUGAUGUGACAUGCAGGAGAUGUGAUCUCAAGAUACAUUUUCUAGUUUCACAUAUGCUAAGAAUGGCACGAAUGUGUUGUGGAAUGGAAAAAACAUUCCCAAGCCCUUUAGAAAUUAAGUGCAUCAAAUGGGUUGUGAAUUAAAUACAUUAUUCUGUAUGGUUACUACAAUUUUUUCUUUGAUCUUUCCUAAAAAAUGUCAUAUUUAUUUGAGAUUUGUUUGUUUGUAUUCAGAAUAUGCCAGUAGUGGACAAUCCUAAGUCCUUGAGACCUAGUAUGUUUUCCUUAGCUCAACGGUAUGAGUCUUGGGUAAACAGGCAAACUUUGGAUGAGCGCUCUAUGACAGAAAAUAAGGUGUGCAAAACAUGUCAGCGGCCUUUGCUCUACCUGUGAUCUCUCUGCAUAUGUAAUCUUUAGCAGACAAGGACAUGCUACAACUCGUGCCUUCCAGUACUGGAGAUAGCAUUCCACUUCCCUGUUUAUGUCACUUUUCUGCAGGCGAACUGAACUCAAGCACAGCGUGAGGUAACAGAGCCCUGAUAAUGGAGACUUUCCCACGCAUUUCUCAGUAAAAUGAGAUGAGGGCUUUGUAAGGUUCGCUCUGGGAAAAAAAGACUGUCACCUGACACAGAAAACGUAAACAGUCACACGGUUCUCCCGUGUUGAGAUCCUUCGUGUCCAUUCACAUUAUUGCCCUUUUCCCGAGUGUUUGAAAACACAAGUGUUGUUCUUCCUCUGCGUUCCCACCCAAAAUUCCUGCUGUAAGAAAACAAUGUUGUUUUAACUUUUCACAUGGAGUUCUCUCUAUUGACCUUAGAAUCGACUCUCUUAUCCAAUACAGCGCUCUUGCCAGAUUUUGCAUGAUUUUGCAGGAUAAUGAAUUCAUGAAGACUUCAGGAAAUGAAAGUUAGUUGAAAACUACAAGUAAAGCAUAGCAUGCAGUACAAUAUCAUUCCUGAAUUUGCACUUAUAGGUGCUAUGUGUUUUUGCUUUUUUUUGCAUUAAAGACAUAGAUUUCAGAGUCAAGUGGUUCUGAGGUUCAAAGGAUUUUCUUUACAGCACCUAAUUACUAAGAGUGAAUUUCUAUCAUGCCAGACAUGUUCCAUUCAGUAGAAUGUUUCAUUCUAGAAAGCUAGAACUGUUAAUGCCAAAUAAAAAAAUGAGCAAGUAUUAAUUUUUCAGCAAACAACUUAUCACCACAAGAAUUAGUGCUCUCCAUUUCCGCAUUUCAGCCACAUAUCUGUCUGACUGCGCCAUUGCGAAUUCAUGGAACUCAUCAGACCAGCAUUGUUUUCAUACCCUCAAAACAUUCAAAUAACUUCCCCUUUAAAUGGAGAAGAGUACCAUUGAUUUAGAAUGAAGCAGCACAAGUGCAAUAUCAUGACAAAGUUCCAGUUUUUGGUUUCUACACGAGGAAACAACAUGGACCAACAGUCUUCCGUUUCAUGUCUAUUAAUUUUAUUAAAAUCAUUUGUCAUUGAGGUUGGGUUACCUAUAGAUCUAUAUAAACACCAAGUGAAAUGACAACAACAAUAUAGGCCAUGUGCAAUGUCCUAAUCCUCACUUCCUUCCACUGUAGCCGCACUGUACACCAAUAAUCAGUAUGAUUCUGUUUUGUUUAAUGGUGUUCAGAAAACCAGAGAGAUACCUGACAGAAGCCUUGAGUGCAAUAUACUCAGGAGUGACUGUGAAGCACGGAAAUUAAAUAAUAGCGAACGUCAUCUCAUUUAAUAAUGGAAAACCGAAUAUCCCGAAAGUGCAAACAGCGCUCAUAUUGAGUAUCAUAUUCCCCACUGGGCAAUGUUUCCACUGGAAAGUACCAGUAUUCUCAGGUUCUUGGUAGUCUUCCUCUGAAACUCCACCUGGUACUCUCAUGCCACAUAGCAAAUAUGAAAUACAGUAAACACAAUAAAUCAAUCCCAUUUCCUGGUUUGUUUAAGUAUUGAGUUUGAGUUACACUGUACACAAAAGCAAUACCACACCACAGAUCAUUGAAUGUUGAGGACAUAGAAAGAUUAACAAUGAAAGAUCAGUUUUUACAGUGUCAUUGAACAUUCUGAAGCAUAUUUAACCUUUGCAGAUGCACAGAGAGUCUCUCAGCUUAUAUGUCUCUCAGAACUGCUCUCAUUCCUUCUGGAAUCAGAGGCAGUGUUGUUUUUUUCUUUCUUUUUGGCCUGCUACCAGCAAACAGAGCCUCCUGACUGGCCAGUGGAUCUCUGCCUGUGUGGUAAACCUUUGGCCAGCUCCUCAUUCCCAGUCAUGUGAGCUGCACCACCCCCGCACUGCUCUGCACUGCACUCCAGUGCACUCCACAUACUGCUAGCUCCCUCCAAAUCACCUGAUCUCCUUAUGGGCAUCUACAGUCUACAUGAACAACAGAAGGCUGGAGGAACAUACUCACACAGCCAGAAUACUGGAUAUGACGUGAGACAUGACUCAUUCAUUCCUCUAGCCUCCCAGCAGGAAAGUCAAUGUAUCACCCUUGCACUUAUUUACCUGUUGUGUUGAUAAAGAAUGGUCUGUUUUAAAUGAUAGAUACAUAAUAUCUUUUUCAUCAUCAAUUAAAGCAGUUCUGCAAAGAAAAGUAGGCUAAAAUUCCUCCUCAGCAUAAGACUGAUAUCAAAUUACAGGAAGCAUUUGGUUGCAGCUAUUGCUGCAAAUGGUGCAGAACACACUGAGCUGGCCUACAGAUAGCCAGUGUCUGCGGUAUGUGCUCCUCUGUCUAAACGAGAUUACCGCGGGCUUGGUUGAGACUUUGAGGUGCUUGACUAUUCAGAGCAUGAAGUUAUUACAAAGGACUAAACGUCAAAAAACCUGUUUAUACGCCUCAUACUUGUGUGCUCUGUGAUGUGACAAUUUAAGCAUUGUAUUUAACUUACUUGUGACAUUUCAGAAUGUGUUUUUCCAGGAAAAAGAAAUAAAGGGUAAAUUGAAGCUAAAAUGGAAGGCAACUGGGUUCUUAUCAGCUGAAGUAGGACGCACAUGAAAGGUCUUGCCACAUACCAGAAGAAGGGAACAUUCCUUUUCUGUUUGUUUUAUCGCUAUGAUAUCAAGUCUCGCCCAACAUUUAAUCUUACAAGCACAUACUCUGUUUCUUAGUAGCAUUUAAAAAACAAAACAAACUAAUCACGUGGUUAUCUUGAUUGAUGUACGCGUGGAAUGUGAAACCUUCACAACUUUCUAUUAAAAGUUUGUUUGGUGCAGUGUACUUAAAGAAUAAAAUCAAAUAUAUUUGUUGUGCACAGUGGGAUUUAUAUUAUUUAAUAAUAUUUAACUGACGUACUUAUACCUAAAACAUCUCAGGUGUCCAAAUCAUAUCAUCACAGCAUUCCAGUUGGUCUCUAGGAUGGUGAAAUUCUGAGCAAUAUUUUAUCACUGUCGUCCAGUUUUGUUUUGUGAAUGGCUUCUUGUAAAGUUAUUUUAAACUUUGCAUACUGCAAUAAUUUAUUAAGAACAAUUUCUGAGAGUGCAUGUUUGUUAUAUACCUCACAAUCUACAAAGAGCCAUGGCUAUGCACAUUUUUGCCUUUUCUUUACAACUAUGACAUGGCUGGGUCUCAGUAAUGUUCUCUGUGUAACGUGAUAAACUGCCUCAUUUCAUAUGCAUGGGGACAGUGUUGCUGGACCACCACAGAUUUCAUGGCUACUUUGUGGUUUGAAUCUACAACCACACAUGUAUGGUUAUGUAACUUGCUAAUCCACAUAUAAACUGAAACCUUCAUGUCAGUUUUUUAAAAUUAAUAAUAUUUAAAUAUUAACAUGUUAACAUGUAUAAGAUGCAAUGUGUGUUUCUGUGAAUGUGUUCAUGUGAGUGUGCGUGUGUACUGGCUGUAGCAGGAUGCAGACUGACCUGGACUAUUUGUGUCAGCAAGCUGGGUCAGGCACAUUCUGUACGGAGCAUCCAGCCUGGACUGAGACAUGUCCUAACUUGCAGACAGGGCUUACAUAAGCAGACGAUGCAACCGAGUGUAAUACUUCACAAGGUGAUGCUGAAAUGACAGGGCAGGUACUGCGCUGUAUCUUUUCUGGACAUAACAAAGCAAUCCAGCCAAGUAUGAACUUGCCACAUCACUGUUAUUUAUGGAAAGAAUCACGGGUAUUAGACAGCAUGGCCUACUUACUGGACACCCGUGUCUGUUAAAAGCAGCAGUAAUUGUUGCUAAGAAGCUUUAUGUAACCACCAGAGUUUAACCACCAUUUGAUGAGUCAGAGGGAACCUCUUUCUUUACCAUCUCGGUAACCACAUGUACUGUAGGUUAUACCAAAGCAGAAAAGGGAAUAACAUAACGACAGAGGAGUGGUUACUGUUGUCAUUGGUGACAUCAUUUUUAGAGGUUUUUUUUUUCUUUUUUCAGAAAUAUAGAUUCUUACACUGUCAGCAGUAAGAAGAAAAGGAUUAACAUGGUAAGGGAGUAAAAAGAAAGGAUUAAUAUAAUGCUGUAAUAGAGGUAUGGAGUUUGAGUUAUGUUCAAUUGCCCCUUGCUAUUUAUAUAUUAGGAAUGCAUGAUAUAUUAGGUAAUAUGAAUAUCAAGGGACAAUGAGCAGCUAGACAUAUAAGCUAUAAAUGCAAAAUUUGAAAUAUUAUUUUUACAAUAUACAGAACCUUUGUGAUGAUAUAGUAAACAAUGUUUCCAUCACAAGCCAAUUAAAAUGUAAUAUUUCUCAAAAUUACCUAAAUUAGGUUUGCUCAUUAAUCAAUUUAUCGUGACAUGACAUUUUUAAAUGACUUUUGUACACAAAUUCAUAUUAAUAUAAACAGAAAUUGAAGGAGAUAUCAGUGAUAUGCUUAGAAAAUAUGUACCACAACAUUCAAGGAUGACAAUAUAAUUUAAAUAUAUUCCUUUUCAGAAUGUCAAUGUGUGUACAAUACUUCACUGUACAAUAGCUUAUAUUCCUUGCUUCAAAAUCACAGUGGUGUGCAUUGUUGGGGAUUCAGCCAUUCUCUCGAAUGGCCUGUGCUCUGUCUUCACAAGAAAAUCUCCUUGGUGUAAGCUUACUUGACGUGUUCUUAAACUGAGCUAGCCAUGGGCUAGACAAAUAGUAAACAAUAAAGCUAGGGAUUUUAAUCACGCCUGAAAAAUCCUUUACAAAUGGGAUCUACCCAAUUUCAUCACAGUUCACUCCCACACUACUGAGAAAUAUUACCUUUAACAUAUACAAAUUGCAUCUCUUAUCAUGACAGUACUAUCUAGAACAAAACUUUCUGUUCUGUUCUGUUCUGUUCUGUUUUGUUCUGUAUCAAGUAGCAGUUCACAGGAUGGUCUGCAGACAGGAAUGCAAUUUUGGGGGCUCUCUGGAAAAGCAAUGUUCACCUCCCACAAUUUUUUUUUAACCUCUGUCUGCUUUUCUCCCUUUUUUCUCCUUCACUCUUUGUCAUCGCAGAUAUUUUUCAUUUUCACUUUUGUUCUUCGUUCCUACACUUCUCUUUUGUUUUGUCAUCCUUUCAAGCUUUUGUGCGCCUCGGUGCUUUGUGCUCACAUGCCCACUUCAGGGGAGUUCUCUUUCCCAUUGCGCAUUCCUGCACAUUCUUGUUAUUGUUGUCAGAUCUUUAAUCUCUAUUCCUUUCAUCCUGUAUUCCUUUCGCCAGCUUCUGUAUCACUACUCGUUUGCUUAAAUAAAAAAACCUUACUAAUAUUUUAUUUUCAUUUUGUUUUUAAAUGUUUGAUUGCAUUCUGUCACUUUAUUCACUCCCAAAUUGUUCUAGGAUGAAUUUAAUACCCUUGAUUCUUCAGAGCUUUCAUUUUUGUUCCUUCUCUCAUUUUUAUUUACUGGUCCUCUCCCAGUGAUUCUUUCCUCUGUAAUGCCUGCAGUUGUUCUUUUCUUCCCUCCUCACCCUCUACAUCUCUUCCCUUUUUCUUUCCUCCUUUCCAUGCAUACUCACACACCUUCACAUUUCAUCCUCAUUCUUUCUCGUCCACCCCUCUGGCCUAAUAGCCCCUGAUGUGUGGUCUGAAUACCAGGUCUGAACCCCCUGAAAGUACAGCCCACUCUAUCAGCACAAGGCUCAGAUCCUUGAUGUUUUUGCAUUCCUGGCCCAUUAAGUCAGUGGGAGCAGCAGGGGGAAACGUGGUAUUUGCUUCCUUUUUCUCAGUGGUGUCUUCGUGUGGAGGACCCCUGUCACAUGACCCUAGGAGCCUUGAAAAACAGACGCUCACCAGCUGGUUUCUUACAAGCAAACGUACUAUCAGAUCAUGAGUCACAAUGAAACAAGCUGAGGCGCGUCGGCGUGUCACCUUCCUGUGACUUGGAAUGUGCCAACCCAUUCUGAAGCAAGUCUGAACCGAAAAUUCAAACUUCUGGGGAAUUUCCAGAAGUCAUCAUGCAUGUAGUUCAUUUUGUGUGGGAGAAACUUAAUCCCAGUCCUGAUUUAAAUGCCAUCAAACCAGUUUUAACAGAAUUGGUUGUGUUUUUGAAUCAGGAAGUUCUAUUUUUCGUAAAAUGAAAAGAACAGAAAAAUGUUUUACUUUCGUAUGAGUGCAUUUCUGACGAGAAUACUUUUGAAGAAAUUGAGCGAAAGAUGUUAUAUUUCAUUACUCUUUCCUUGCCAUAUUUCAUUACUUCUCAAACUAGCUUCCACACAGAGAGGUGUGAAUAAUGCCAUGUAAAACUGAAAUUCCCAAAAACUUUGCUCCCACGCUAUGUUAACAGAUGGCUGGUACUGUAGAGGCAAAGGAAAAUACGCACCUGAUACUUGUGAAGGGAUACAAUGUUAGGGAUAAAUGUUUUUGAUGGCUGUACACAAACACAUUCUACAGUCAGGUAGACCUGAAUGUGACCAUUGAGAGUGUACAAUAGCCACAGAUGGGAGACAUGAAGUAAAAUAAAGAUAAAGAGAUGGGCUAUGAGUCACAGGUUUCUGUUUCAGAUUGUGUGUGGGCGUGUGCGUGUGUGUAUUUGCGUAUUUUGACAUUCUAACUUCCUACAUCUGGUUGUAAAUUAGGGGGGAAACCUGCUUGUGUGUAAGUGUUUAAUGUUUGUCAAAGAAGAGCGCAGCUUUUCUGUCAACACUAUUGCCACCCCUGAAUCUAUUCUACAUUGUAUUAUGCUCCGUUAAUAAACUUCAUUCCUUCUGACAAAGGCCCUUUAUGCAUUGUGAGCUGAAGAAGAAAACACCCAACCAAUGUGACAAGUAGCACCUCUGAGUACAUCUAGUGGUCAUAUCGGCAGCUGCACUCAAACUGGGAAGGUCCCUUCUGUGAUGUAUGAAAAUUGUCAGGGAAAUCUGUUACAUUGUGAUGUACAUCCCUAGCAUCAGAAUAACAUCAUGUAUGUUGCCUUUGAACAUUUGCAAUAUAUACGAUUUCCAUGUGUUUCCUAUGAUCUACAUUACUUGGAUUGCUUCUACCUAUCAUUGGCAUAGCUUCAGUUUCACCUUCUUAUGGAUAUAUAAGCAUACAUGCCAUAUUAGCCCUUGCAAAUGCUGCCAAUGUUUGUCCAGUGUUGGGGUGGAGAAGCAUCUGGUGAGUAUUGGGGGAAGGAAGUUGGGAUUUGCACCCCAUUGCCUUGUACCACACUUGGUACAGUAUAUACCCUCGGGACAGGGGCGAUGUCUCACUUCUGUUUCUAUGAGUCAUGUUCGGGUCAUGAGUCACAGCAAUUAGUCAUGCAUUUGCACACUGAAUUCUUUCAAAACAAGGGAAUUCUUGAUAUAAAUCAAAGGAAAACCUUUUUAUUAGGAACUGAAGUGCUGUAUGGAGAUUAAAUAAAAAGGCUGUGCUUCCAUCUUGUGGCAGAAUAUUGCAACAAACACUAUGCAAUUUCCUCCGCUAUGUAUUGUACACAGCUUCAUCAUAACAAACUUGAAAUCUCUCCAGCAAUACCCAAUUCAUUUACCCAAUUGAUGAUUAAUUUUCCUGUCCUGACCAAUUAAGUAAGUUCUCACUUUUGGAGGGUCAGUACAAAUGUGCAUCAUGACUUGGAGGAGUGACUAAUGCAGAGGAGGAGCAGCCAGUCACCCCGUGGAUUCUAUAUAAUCACUGAUUAAUGAUCUUCCACCAGUAUCAAAAGGAAAUAUCGGUUGGACCUUUUAUAUAUUUUUUAAAGUUUUUUUUUAUUUAUUUUUUACAGAUUUAUAUGCAUAUAGUUUUUAUCACAGACAAACAAACAUGACAUUUUUAGCCUAUUCUUCUUCUUCUACUUCUUAUAGUUUCAUUAUUAUUGCCCUACUAUUCAUAAGUUGCAUACUGUAGUUUACGUCCAUGACUGCUAUAGCAAUGAUUGAUGAGUGAUGCAUAGAAAAUGUUUGGGACAUAUAUGACAAGGACAGCCUGUUCAAAGUUGUUACAAGCAUCUUGGGUCUUCUCAUUAAAAAUAAUUGUGUGACA